rnacentral:rRNA from 1 species
ACGCUCGACACCUACGGAAGGCAGCAGUGGGGAAUAUUGCACAAUGGGGGAAACCCUGAUGCAGCGACGCCGCGUGAGCGAAGAAGUAUUUCGGUAUGUAAAGCUCUAUCAGCAGGGAAGAAAGUGACGGUACCUGACUAAGAAGCACCGGCUAAAUACGUGCCAGCAGCCGCGGUAAUCUGAGCGGGCUGGCAAGGC